GGGGAGCAGGACGACGGAGCAGGCGAAGAGGAUGAUCCAGGAGCGCUGGAGGUAGAUGCCCAGCAUGUGGUACUGCUUGGCGCCGUAGGACUGGCCGCACAGCGUCUCCAGCGCGCUCGCCAUGCCCAGCUGCAGUUCACGGUUGUUUUCAGGUUGCUUUCGCAGCAGAGCAGAGGUGUUCGUGCCAGGCUGCCAGCGAAGAAAAGGAAGAUUAGCAAUUAACUGAUUGGAGUCGUCCACGCAUUUUUUUUUUCUACCAUGACUUUGGAGCGCGCGCGAUAUACGGACACCACUGACUUCACAAUCGACGAUGGGUACUGGUUGGCGUCUACGCUGGCGCAUUGCAUUCUCUUGGCGGGGAGAGGAACAGCAGAGCAACCAACUUGAACACGAACCCAUUCAAUUCAAUGCCUCUCUCUUUUGCACUGCACGUGGAAGAAAAUUUCUCAAGAGAGGUCCACUGAAUAUGCGGUGGAGUUGGUGGCGAACUUUUACUGGGAGAGAAUUUAACUGUGGACCCGAAAUACAGAUGGAGGUAUUAAAUUUUCUCAAGAGUCGAGCGUGGACCACAGUACUGUUAGAUUAUUCAACCUUGACUAAAAAAUAAAAAUACUCCUCCUCUCUUGUGUGCGUC